rnacentral:rRNA from 1 species
UAGGGAAUCUUCGGCAAUGGGGGCAACCCUGACCGAGCAACGCCGCAUGAGUGAAGAAGGUUUUCGGAUCGUAAAGCUCUGUUGUAAGAGAAGAACGUGUGUGAGAGUGGAAAGUUCACACAGUGACGGUAACUUACCAGAAAGGGACGGCUAACUACGUGCCAGCAGCCGAGGUAAUACGUAGGUCCCGAGCGUUGUCCGGAUUUAUUGGGCGUAAAGCGAGCGCAGGCGGUUUAAUAAGUCUGAAGUUAAAGGCAGUGGCUUAACCAUUGUUCGCUUUGGAAACUGUUAAACUUGAGUGCAGUAGGGGAGAGUGGAAUUCCAUGUGUAGCGGUGAAAUGCGUAGAUAUAUGGAGGAACACCGGUGGCGAAAGCGGCUCUCUGGUCUGUAACUGACGCUGAGGCUCGAAAGCGUGGGGAGCAAACAGG